GAAUCGGGCAGCUCACAAGAUACGUGUCAGGCGCUGGUACGCCUUCAACUCGACGAAGUAAACUAUAUAUCUAGGUGCAUUAGCCAAUUAAUUUCAUAUAAUCUGUAGGUGGAAGUUUGAGAAUUGUCCGAGUUGAAUUUUGCAAAAUAUGGAUGCUUCGAAGGGAUCAAUGGCAAAAACAAAAGAGGAAAUCAGGGUGGAGACGGUGGAUUAUCGAUCACCGGCGGGAGAAGACAAAGAAGCCAAGAAGGAGGACGUUGAAGUGGUUCAUGAGAUUCGAGACGGCGGAGCAAAGAGUGAGGGUGUUCACCCUUUUGCAGGUGCAGCUGCUGCAGUGGCAAACAGCAUUCAAUCAGCAAAGGAUGCCAUCUCUGGUGGUGCCAAAGAAUCCAAAGAUGAUAAGACCAGUAAAUGAGUGAGUGCAGCCGGUGCACGAUGACAUGAUAUCAUGUAACGUUCGCUUGUUAUUCGACGGAAAUAAAAACUGUAUUAGGAAAUGAAAUGAAGUUCAAGUGCACAUAUAUUUGUGUUUCCUUGUACUUGUUUUGUUAGAAAUUGUGCGAUUGCAAGUUUUUAAGAGAUUUAUCAUCCAUCUCAUUCCUUCGUCAAGCUGUGUGCAUCUCCUUGUUCGUGAGGAGGAUCUUCUGUACGUGACGUUCAUUCAAGAGAAAAUAAAGCACGAUGGAGUAUUGCAAGACAAUAGGAUUUGGUGUAGCUUUGAUUGUGGUGUCUUAUCAAAUUGAGUCUUGUGAAGUCUUGUUUUCUUAGUGGAAUGUGUGUGCUCGUUUUUUAUAUUCA